UGACCUCAAAUCAGGUAGGACUACCCGCUGAACUUAAGCAUACA
rnacentral:rRNA from 1 species